ACUGUGGUAGACAGAAUAAUGCCCCUUUUCACUGAAGGAUGUCCAUGUUCUAAUCUCUUCUGGAGGCUAUGAAUGCCUAGGGAAACUCACUCAAAUAAUUGGAAUUAAACUGCAGUUCCUUUGAAGCCUCUGGCGAGAGGGGUGACUGUCCUCAAGGUCGUCUUCUGGUGGUUCAGGAGGCACCGUGAUCCCUCCAGGGCAUAGCUCAGGGCAUGGCACACGAAUGGGGUGCUGUUGUCAAGGCCCAGUGGGAAGUUGACAUAUACAUCCACCCUGCCCUAACAGAACAUUUCAACUGGGGAAUGCCUGCCACAAAAAGAAGACUAAAUCAGAUCCAGAAUCUUGUAAUACCUAAAAUGUCCUGGAUACAACUGCAUAUCGCUGGUCAUACCAAGAAUGAGAAAAUCACUACAAGAAUGAGAAAAGGCAAUCAACAGAUACCAACACCAAGAUGAAUCAGAUGUCAGAGUUAUUUGACAAGGAUUUUAAAGCAGUCAUCAUAAAAAUGCUUCAAUAAGCAAUUAUGAAUUUUCUUGACGCUAAUGUAAAAUAGAAAACCUCGGCAAUAGAAAAAAAAAUUUUUUUUAAUAAAAAGGAACCAAAGUGGAAAUUACUGAACUGAAAAACACAAUAACAGAAAGGAAAAAUCUGCUGGAUAGGCUCAGUAUAGAGUGGAGAUGACACAGUGUAGAAUCAAUAAACUUGAGGACAGAUCAACAGAAUUUUCCCAAUCUGAGCAAUAGAGAGAAAUUAGGUUGCAAGAGUAUUAACAGUCUUGGGGAGCUGUGGGAUCCUAGUAAAAGGGUAUCAUCAGAGUCUCACAUGGAGAGGAGACAGAGCAUGGGACUGAAAAAUUAUUCUAAGAAAUAAUAGCUGAUGAUUUCUCAAAUCUGGAAAAAGACAUAAACCUACAGAUUUGGGAAGCAGAGAAAACUUUAAGUAGGAUAAACAGAAAGAAUUCCAUGCCAAGUCACAGCAUAAUUGAACUUAUAGAAACUAAAGACAAAGAAAAACAUCCCGCAAAUAGCCAGAGACAAAUGACACUUUUUACAGCUGGCCACACAAAUUGAAUGACAGUGGAUUUCUCAUCUAAAACUAUGGAGGUGAGAAGGAAGUGGGUAUUUUUCAAGCACUGAAAGAAAACAACCUGUCAACUGAGAAUUCUACAUCCAGAGAAAAUAUCUUUCAAGAACAAAGAGGAAAUAAGGACACUAGAGAAGACAUAUAAAUGGAGAAAUAAUCGAUGCUUAUGAAUUUUUUCACACUUUGGCCAAGCACUGAUUCAUGGCUUUUAAUGUGGUGAGUUAGUAAUGCUAUGAGCCAUCUCCCCACCCUGUGAAUGGCAGGAUUCCAGAAUAUCACCAAAGAUGUGGAAGAAACAAUUGAGCUAAAUCAGAAUGAGUGACCCUUCAGCAAUGUCUGAUCCUCCUACUGGGAGACUAUGCUUGGUUUUGGUAUCUAUAAAAUUCACCAUUUUUUAUGAAUUUUCUUUUAAAAUUCUACCUUUACAAAGCCCAGACCAGUUUAUAUAAAUACCGGGAGACUCACCUGAUCUCCUCAUCCUUUGAACAUACAUAAAAAUUAUACCACUUUAUAGCCUAAAUUAUAUAUCAUUGUAGGGCAUCUGUUUUUGGUUACAUUGCUAAUGACCUUUAAUGGUUAUUUCAUUUAUUAUAUAUAUUCUGUCCCCAUAAACUCUUUGUUAAAAGGGUCUAUUUCUAGUUCAUUGUUUUAAUCCUGAAUACAUUGUGACUGGCAAAUAGAAGGUACUAAAAAGAAAUCUUCAUGAAGGGACUGAUUAUUAUACUUUUUCAAAUUUCAAAUAAAAUAUAUAUUAUUGCUUAAAAUGAUCUAAUGCCUAGGAAAUCCUUGUUUGGUUAAUAAAUAAAUGCACC